rnacentral:rRNA from 1 species
CUGGCUCAGAACGAACGCUGGCGGCGCGUCUUAAGCAUGCAAGUCGAACGGCAAGAGGUAGCAAUACCUCCUAGAGUGGCGGACUGGUGAGUAACACGUGGGUGACAUACCCUUCAGAUGGGGAUAGCUAUUAGAAAUAGUAGAUAAUACCGAAUACGAGCACAGGGGUUAGAGAUCUGUGAGGAAAGGAGCUAAGGCUCCGCUGAAGGAAUGGCCUGCGGCCCAUUAGCUAGUUGGUGAGGUAAGAGCCCACCAAGGCGAUGAUGGGUAUCCGGCCUUAGAGGGUGAACGGACACAUUGGGACUGAGAUACGGCCCAGACUCCUACGGGAGGCAGCAGCUAAGAAUAUUCCGCAAUGGACGAAAGUCUGACGGAGCGACGCCGCGUGGAUGAAGAAGGCCGGAAGGUUGUAAAAUCCUUUUGAAACUGAAGAAUAAGCGUUGUAGGGAAUGACAGCGUGGUGACAGUAGGUUUUGAAUAAGCAACGGCUAAUUACGUGCCAGCAGCCGC